AUAAGAGCCUCUCCUUUCUCUGCACCUUUUCUGAUAUUUUCCAACUGAUCCUUAUGUGCAUCCUUCUUGCUGAGCCAACAGGUAGCAAAGUCAAAAUCCAAAAAGUAAAAAAAGUCUUUUCUCUGAUUUCAGCUUGUUUGCAUAUCAUUUAAAUCUUGAUUUUGUUUCUUCAGACUGCAUCAGAGAGCAGAAUGGCAAAGCUGGUGCGUGGCUGUGUGUGACAGUGGCCCUGUGUGAUGCGGUGUCCCUAACAAACAGAGGCCAUUGUGAUGCGGGGCCCUGCCCUGACACGAGGGUAUUUAAGGAGCAGAGAGGCGUGGGGUGCCCACUCCUAGGAGACCAGCUUUGUCCAGAGGCAGCAGCUCUCCCAGGUGACAGUGACGGGUGUGUGGCACAGGACGCCCCAGGCCAGCAUGCAGGAGGAGCGGCCAGCAGCAGAGCCGGCCCAGGCGGGCGGCGUGUCUGCAUCAGCUUCCCCGAGCAGGGCUGCGGCUGCAGGGACGGGCCAGCAGCAGCAGCAGCUCCAGCAGGAGCAGGCAGGGCUCUCUGUGCUCAUCGAGUGCCACCAAGGCCCUCGGUGGCCGUGGGGGCACAGGAGGCACGGGCCUGUUUUGAAGCAGGUGAUCGUGUCCUUCACGAGGAGGGCUCCAGGGGAGCCGGGCAGGAGCUGCUGCUCCCACAGCUCGCUGCGGCAGCAGCAUGGCCUGCAGGUCAGAGAAGCACAGAGGCAGGGACAGGGCUCCUCGCGGAGGCACCCCCGGGCCCUCGAUGGCUCCGCUGGGCUCAGUGUCAACGGCAGGAUGGCAUGGCCUGAGACCGGACAGGACAGGCCCACGGGCCGGCCCUGGCCGACAGGCUGCAGCACGGCACAGCAGCCACAGCUGAUACGUAGCGGGUUCGCUGAGGGCACCAUGAACAACAAGGCCACACUGGAGCGGCCGGGAGCCCAAGCUCCACCCAGUAAGCCAGUGGCCUGCACCAUGGAGCAGGAGUGUGAAGAUGCCCUUGGUCCAGAGCUGUCUGAGGAAGAGCAGUGGGAAGACGCCCUCGAUGUUGAGGUGUCCGACGAAGAGGAAUGGCAUGAUGCAGUAGACACAGAGCCGUGCCAAGGGACAGAUGACACUGGCUCAUCUCCUGUCCAUCGCUGGGUGAAUUCCUUGGGCCUGUGGGACAACAAAGGCUCCCACGCUGGUCCCAAGGAGGGUCCCAGCUGCCCCACGGGUGAGGGAAGCGGGCCAAGAGGCACACCGGGAGGAUCUCAGGACAAGGAGCAUCCCUCGCAUGAAGGCCAUGAAGAAGAAGAUGGCACAGCCACUCUCAGCCCAGCAGCUCAGAAAAAGCCCUCUCUGGUGGGAAAGGAAGCAGUAGCUCACCCAGAUCAAGGCCAGGCCUUCACCAACACCAUCCCUUUGCCCACCCAUGUGGACGCCCCGGCUGAAGUGAGCCAGAUGUGGCGCAGGAAGGCGCUGAGUGCUCUGCAGGCCUUACCUGCUGCCCAAGGCAAAGGAGAGCAAAAGAGCCAGCAGCCAACAGGCUGCCAAGAGGUUGUGCCAGAGCCAGCGCAGUCCAUCAGGGCUGAGGGCCUGGACAAGGAGCCCCCUGAGAAACAGGGUCCUGGCCAGCAGCUGCUACAAGCAGAGGCUGACCUGCAAGAAGCAGGACCACCUGCAGGACCUGCCUUCACCUCUCCUUUGCCCACAGUCAUCGAUGCCCUGAGCAGAGAGAGAAGGAUGUCUGACUUCCAGAGAGCCCCAAGGGUUCUGCCCUGGGCCUUCACUGCAGCGCACAGGAGAGGAGGGCAGGAACAGCAGCAGCCCACAGCCUGUGCAUGGGAUCUGCCGGCCACAGCCCAGACUGGCAGCAGUGAGAUCCUGAGCAAAGCUAUGAUUGUGAUCCAGGGACUGGAGCAGACAGAAGAGCAGAAGUCCCCGGAACACAGCACAGAUGCAACAAUGGCAGAAAGAGCCGGAGCAGCAGGGGCAGUGAGCCUGGCACAUGCCCCGCACAGCCCCACAGCUGAUGGCCAGGCUCUGCUGGACACAGUCCAGUACACACCAGAUGAGAUCCUUAGCAGAGCUAUGAUUGUGCCCCACAGAUCUGAGGAGCACACGGAACAACAGAGGGACCUGGAACAAGGUACUGCUGAGGGGAUGAGGGUAACAGCCCCAGCAGAAGAGACAAAGAGCCAAGGACCGAGUGAGCGCACUCAAGCAGAUGAUGGUCUGGCAUUCCUGGACUACCAUGACUAUGUCCUGACGGAAGUGGUUAAGAAGGCUGUGCUUAUGGUCCAGAAACCAUUUGAAUACUCAGAGGAGA
ensembl:lncRNA